rnacentral:rRNA from 1 species
GAUGAACGCUGGCGGCGUGCCUAAUACAUGCAAGUCGAGCGAACAGAUAAGGAGCUUGCUCCUUUGAAGUUAGCGGCGGACGGGUGAGUAACACGUGGGUAACCUACCUAUAAGACUGGGAUAACUUCGGGAAACCGGAGCUAAUACCGGAUAACAUUUAGAACCGCAUGGUUCUAAAGUGAAAGAUGGUUUUGCUAUCACUUAUAGAUGGACCCGCGCCGUAUUAGCUAGUUGGUAAGGUAACGGCUUACCAAGGCGACGAUACGUAGCCGACCUGAGAGGGUGAUCGGCCACACUGGAACUGAGACACGGUCCAGACUCCUACGGGAGGCAGCAGUAGGGAAUCUUCCGCAAUGGGCGAAAGCCUGACGGAGCAACGCCGCGUGAGUGAUGAAGGGUUUCGGCUCGUAAAACCCUGUUAUUAGGGAAGAACAAAUGUGUAAGUAACUGUGCACAUCUUGACGGUACCUAAUCAGAAAGCCACGGCUAACUACGUG